GAUGAACGCUAGCGGCAGGCUUAACACAUGCAAGUCGAGGGGUAUAGUUCUUCGGAGCUAGAGACCGGCGCACGGGUGCGUAACGCGUAUGCAAUCUACCUUUUACAGAGGGAUAGCCCAGAGAAAUUUGGAUUAAUACCUCAUAGUAUUACGACCUGGCAUCAGGAUGUAAUUAAAGUCACAACGGUAAAAGAUGAGCA
rnacentral:rRNA from 1 species